UCUAACAGCAGCCUUCUUUAUCGACACGUGCGCGCAUGCAAGGACGUAUCUGCUUUUGUCUUUUGACAGGUGAGUUUUAGAUCAUCGCAAGAUAACGGUAUUAUUUAGUCAAUGUAUGGGGAUGUUACUCAGUAAUCAAUGAAAGUUUAAUGGGUUUUAAGCAAAUAAAGGACUUAUUUACAGGGAUCUUUUAAUGUCGGAGACGAUGACAUGAAAUGGAUUCCUCCAACAUUAUGACUGGAUCCUAUUUUUGAUAUUAAGAUAACCUCGGAAUCAAACGAGUGACUGAAAACGGGUUAUGUCCUAGUUUCAUAGGAUUGUUACUUGAGUUGGCAGCACAACACAGAAGGAUUGUUACUUGAGUUGGCAGCACAAGACAGAGAUCAUGGAUUUGUUACUGUACCUUCACCGAAUCUUAAUUGUAAGUGGACUAUUAGCUGGAAUGGGUUCCUCCUACCAAACUAGCUGGAACUUGUUGGGCAUGAGGACAACUCCGCCUCCUUGUGUAGAAAUCCCCCAAACACUAACUCUUUGCAAUGGUAUCGGAUACAACCAGAUGCGGCUUCCUAACUUGCUGGGUCACGAUAGAAUGGCUGAAGUAGCCCAACAAGCUAGUCACUGGGUGUCUCUCCUGAACCUGAAAUGUCACCCGGACACGCGGCUCUUCUUAUGUUCGCUGUUUUCGCCAGUCUGCCUAGACCGACUAAUUUAUCCGUGUCGUUCGUUGUGCGAGGCCGUCCGUCAAGGCUGCGAGAGAAGGAUGAAUACAUACGGCUAUCCCUGGCCUGACAUGGUCCGCUGUGAUCAGUUUCCCAUGGAUAACGACAUGUGCAUCACCGUACAGUCUCCAGCAAGUGACGAAGAAGAGCCAGCGCCAUGUAUUGCUUGUAGCCAGCCAGAUACGUACGAAAACAUGAUUGACAACUUUUGUCGAGCAGAUUUUGUUUUCAAAACUAGAGUUCGGAAAUUACGAAACGAAGAACUGAGGUUUAGAAAAACUAGGGUUUUUAAAAUGAAGGAAGGGGCAGUAACCAUAGACGACCUAAAGAAGCCAGUAUUCGAACACCCUAAUAUGUCUAAAUGUUGUGGUGAUCUGAUUGGAAAGCUAGACACUAGAGGUCGCGUUCUUGUGAUGGGAGUUAAGAAGAAAUCUAGUUUAUUCCCAACUCUGAUUAUUCCGUGGGAAAAUUCAAACAAAGUUAUCCGCAAAGCUCGAAAGACGAUGAAGAAAUUUGACUGCUCAAAUCCAGCAACUGUGCUAACUACUAGCAAGAUUACCAAUUUCAUAAAACCUAAGCCUAAAAGGCGACCAGGGCAGCGAGGAAGAGGAUGGAAGUCGACACCAGGUGCUUCUGUGUCGUGUGCUGGAUGUAAUCAACCCCAGACUCUGAAAAACCUACUGGACAAGUUUUGUACAGCAGACUAUGUGAUCAAGACAAGAAUUAAAAAAAUAAAAAACAACAAAAUGAAGUGUAAGAGAUCCCGGAUUCUGAAACUGGAGGAGGGCGCAGCGUCCAGAGAAGAACUGAUAGCUCCGACCUUCACACAUCCUAACAUGACAGAAUGUUGUGGUAACAUACUGGAAAGUGUGCAAGACAGAAAGAAGCGUGUGAUCAUCAUGGGAGACAAGAACGAGGCUGAUUUAAUAACGAACCUAGUGUUGCCCUGGAGAAAUAAUACGAAGUUGAUUAAACGAGUGUUAAGAGUAGCCAAGAAGAAAGGUUGUUAUAGCCGCUAAAAUUAUGGUGUGUGUGUGUGUGUGUGUGUGUGGUCUUAAAAACUUUGUCUGAUUCGAGAAAUGUCAUAAAAUUGGUAAGCAAUGUUGCAGAAUUGAAAAUAAUGAUCACUGUAAAUCUAGAACUAAACUGUGAAAUAAAGCCAAACAUCUAAUAAACUGAUCUAAAAUUUAAAGUUAUAACUGAUUUAACCGCCCCAAUUUUUAAGAUGAUCAAGAUAAUUUAAAUUGGUUUAGAUCUUUAAAAUAUUAUAAUUAUAAACCGAAUUUUGCUAUAACAGUGAAAAUAUAGUGAUUCUACAUUGUUUGAAUGAAUGAUUUGUAAAUAUUUGAAGGAUAAGAGGGUUUAAUGUUGAACAGCGUUUAGUGAGAGUUAACUUAAUGUUGUGGAGUGGAGAAGGUUCAAAAGAAUGAACUGUUCUUUUGUUCUGGUUAUAAGAUUUAAAUCUUGAUUGUUCUUUAUUAUUAGGUAUAAGCUUCAGUUCUAAUGUGGCAUUGUAGCUUAACUGUUGUACUGUUUCCUUUUGUUUAGUCGCUACAAACACUUGUGGACGCUGAUGUAGCGUAUCAUAAUGUUUUAUAAGAAUCCGUUGUCAUAUUGUAUUCAUGAAAAGUUGGGAAAAGAAAUACCUAACAUUUAUAACUUUAAGCUACGUAUAACUUGAUACGAGAAGAACGUGACGCUUUUUGUAUUUUCACGAAGUUUAACACACAGUUGUAGUUACCUUAGCAACGAGAUCAAUGUUCCUUGAAAAUUCAGUAGUAACUAAGGUAGAUUGUUUAAGCCAUUUUCUUCUCUGGUGUCAUUAAAGAAACCUAAAAAAUCAUUUUCUCAUCCAUUCAGAUGUAGAACAUUGUCGGUGUCUUGUGACACUGAAAGAUAUCGAGGUUAUUUGGGCAUUUUUUAAAAAUGGCUACGCUUCAUGUAUUUAAAUCUUCAGUCUUCCGAAUUCUUAAUAAACUGGUAAAAUGGUGUUGUAGUUCCGAAUGUAUAAUAACUUACAUUCAGGUUUUAUCUUUAAACUGUUUUCCAGCUAGAAUGCAAGAUGUGGGAUUUUUUUUAGCUUAAACUGAAAUACCGAAGAUAAAAUUUUGUGUGCAUGAUACAAGAUAAACCGAGUAUCGAACUUUCGUCUAACGUCAUUGUGGGUCUAUAAGCUUUCUUUCAAAAAGAAGUUUAACGUCCCGAUGUUGGUAUUUAGCUUGAUAUUAUUCUAGGUAAAUGUUAUCGUGUGGAAUGGUUUUGUCCUUCCAAGAACACGUUUCUUAGCCCCCCAGUGGCAUGGCGGCAUGUCUGCGGACUUGCAACGCUAGAAACCGGGUUUCGAUACCCGUGAUGGGCAGAGCACAGAUAGCCCAUUGUGUAGCUUUGUGCUGAAUUCCAAACAAACACACGCUUCUUAAAAAUGAUGCAUUCAAAUUAGAACCUUAUUGUCGAAGUUAGUCGCAACGAUAGAAUGCAAGUAGUCUUAUUGACAGGAAGAUGAUUUAUCCUUAACAAUACGUUUUUCUAAAUAGUCUAUGUUAAAAUGUACGCGUUUGUAGAUUAAGUAUUUUUAACGUGGAGCUGUCAUGUGUAUAGACAUAAUGAUUGAGGAAUUUAUAUAACUUAUUUCUGUCUUUAAAUUGCUAUAAGCAACUUCACUGCAAAGUUCAUGUCACUUGAGAUUGUCUACGUAGUAGUAGUAGUAGUAGCAGCAGUAGUAUUAUGUUUGUAAUU
rnacentral:misc_RNA from 1 species